rnacentral:rRNA from 1 species
GACGAACGCUGGCGGCGUGCUUAACACAUGCAAGUCGAACGAUGAUGCCAGCUUGCUGGUGGCUUAGUGGCGAACGGGUGAGUAACACGUGAGCAACCUGCCCCUGACUUCGGGAUAACCGCGGGAAACCGUGGCUAAUACCGGAUAUGACGCGCUAUCGCAUGGUGGUGUGUGGAAAGAUUUAUCGGUUGGGGAUGGGCUCGCGGCCUAUCAGCUUGUUGGUGGGGUGAUGGCCUACCAAGGCGACGACGGGUAGCCGGCCUGAGAGGGUGACCGGCCACACUGGGACUGAGACACGGCCCAGACUCCUACGGGAGGCAGCAGUGGGGAAUAUUGCACAAUGGGCGCAAGCCUGAUGCAGCGACGCCGCGUGAGGGAUGACGGCCUUCGGGUUGUAAACCUCUUUCAGUAGGGAAGAAGGCCUUCGGGUUGACGGUACCUGCAGAAGAAGCGCCGGCUAACUACGUG